rnacentral:lncRNA from 1 species
GCUAUCUCCCGCCUAGCCUAACAUCUGGUCGGCUCUCACUUCCCCUUUCCCCUCCCCCAUUCCUAACCUCUCAGCCAGCCCUCUGCCUAGCAACUGCUUACAAUCACCUAUCAGAAAGCAGUACCCGCCCGCACCUAUCAAAUCUCUCCACGCAGUCCCUAACCCUAUAAAACCGUAUCCCCCUCCGCAAUAAACCAGACUUGUGCCACUAGCCUGUCUCCGCGAUUUCUUCCUGAAUCUCGCGCACCCUCCAUACCUCAGAGCCACCGAGAGAAGUCACAGAGGCCUCCAGCGGCUCCUCUCCACCCGCCGGCAGGCGGGGUGACGUCAUCAGCCAGCGCCGGAAGCCAUACCCUGAAAACACCUCCGCAGAUACUCUGGAGGACGGUGAAGACUGGAGAGGGGCUCCACGAAUGCAGAAUUGAAGAAAGAGAAAAGUAUCAGGACUGAUGCUGUUACAACUACAUUAAAAGAGAGUUUGCCAUCAAAGUGCUGGUUUUUCUAGAGAGAAAGAAGCUCUGAACUACACUUGUGAUGAAAGCCUCAUUAAGACUUGGUUUCCUUGCAUUCUCAGUUCAUUUGGAUUCUCAUGAAUAAGGGAGAGAAUUUUAACCAGGUGGGAGAGUACUCAUUUAUUUUGCAAAUGAUGUACCUUUUAAUCAGAAUGUGUUAUUUACUUUUUGUAAAUGAUUUACUUUUUAAUCAGAAUGUAUAAUUUACAGGCAGUUGGAUAAAGGCAAUUUGAGGUCAGGUAAAGUUAUUGUGGAUAUCUAAUAUUUCUGGAUUUAUAAUUAUUUGCUCAUUUCCAAAGGGAGACUUUUUUAAUAUAUUACUACUCAAGGAAGGAUUUUAUGCAUUUAGACCAGGGGAGAGACCAAAAUAUGAACAAACAAAUGAAUAAUAGUACAGUGAAAAAUUAUAUGAGUGACCUGAAGGAAUAGUAGAAUUUUAAUAUAGGCUAUAGGAAGGGCAAAGGAUACUUUUGGUUGGGGUUCAGUGAUGAGAUCUC